rnacentral:rRNA from 1 species
GUCUAUGGCCACGCCACCUUGAGCAAGCCAAAUCUCAUCUGAUCUCAGAAGCUAACUAAGCAGGGUCGGGCCUGGUUAGUACUUGAAUGGGAGACCACCUAGGAAGACCAGGUGCUGUAGGCA